rnacentral:rRNA from 1 species
ACGGGAGGCAGCAGUGGGGAAUAUUGCACAAUGGGGGAAACCCUGAUGCAGCGACGCCGCGUGAGUGAAGAAGUAUUUCGGUAUGUAAAGCUCUAUCAGCAGGGAAGAAAAUGACGGUACCUGACUAAGAAGCCCCGGCUAACUACGUGCCAGCAGCCGCGGUAAUACGUAGGGGGCAAGCGUUAUCCGGAUUUACUGGGUGUAAAGGGAGCGUAGACGGUAAUGCAAGUCAGAAGUGAAAGCCCAGGGCUCAACCGUGGGACUGCUUUUGAAACUGCAAUACUGGAGUGCAGGAGAGGUAAGUGGAAUUCCUAGUGUAGCGGUGAAAUGCGUAGAUAUUAGGAGGAACACCAGUGGCGAAGGCGGCUUACUGGACUGUAACUGACGUUGAGGCUCGAAAGCGUGGGGAGCAAACAGGAUUAGAUACCCUGGUA